rnacentral:rRNA from 1 species
GUGGGGAAUCUUGCGCAAUGGGCGAAAGCCUGACGCAGCCAUGCCGCGUGAAUGAUGAAGGUCUUAGGAUUGUAAAAUUCUUUCACCGGGGACGAUAAUGACGGUACCCGGAGAAGAAGCUACGGCUAACUUCGUGCCAGCAGCCGCGGUAAUACGAAGGGGGCUAGCGUUGCUCGGAAUUACUGGGCGUAAAGGGCGCGUAGGCGGACAGCUUAGUCAGAGGUGAAAGCCCAGGGCUCAACCUUGGAAUUGCCUUUGAUACUGGCUGUCUUGAGUUUGGGAGAGGUGAGUGGAACUCCGAGUGUAGAGGUGAAAUUCGUAGAUAUUCGGAAGAACACCAGUGGCGAAGGCGACUCACUGGCCCAAUACUGACGCUGAGGCGCGAAAGCGUGGGGAGCAAACAGGAUUAGAAACCCCAGUAGUCC